rnacentral:lncRNA from 1 species
AUAACUCGAGCACAACGCAUAAAAUUUGAGCAAUGAAAAGAUGGCCAGAACGAGGACAGAGAGCUCAGAACUGUUCACAAAAUAACAAAGGAGGUGCCAGGAGAGAGGCGAAUCCUCUCAGGUGAGACGAGCCACAAAUGAUUCUGUUAACCGUGAAUGUCAAUGUCAACCUCCCGAAAGGAAAAGAAACCACUCGGACUCCAUCUCCUUCUGGAGAAAUCCCAGAAAAAUUCUACAUCUCAAGGGCUGCUUCCCGAAAAAUCUCCUCAGACCUGAUCUCCUUCCAGAAACUUCCUCAGCAGCUCAACAGCUAAAUUCUGAAUAUGGAAUUUAUCACAAACAAAUCACAGAGGAAAAAAAGCUGAGACUGCACGGCCUCAGGCCGAAACGAGUGUAUAAAAUUCGGCAUUUCAAUAAAAACUUUGGAAACUUGAGGGAAUCGAGGUUUGGAGACUGAGGCAGAGACCGGGUCAGGAUUCACCCAGCGCCGAUCCCGGGCUCGGCGUUGCCUUUAAUUGUAGCUGUCCCCAAAUUUAUUUUCGCAGGUUUAGCAAUAAAAAUUGUUAUUCAUGAAAUUGGAUUGAUUUAUUUAUAGCGCAGGGAAGGAAAAAAGGAAAAGCGGAACCAAUCCCCGCCGCACUGCGCAUACGCAGCUCCGGCUACCGUACAUGGCAGCCACGCGCAUGCGCAGUUACGCGCUCCGUACGGCAGCAUGGCGGCCCGCACAGGCGCGGCGCCUUUUGCCGUACAACAUGGUCGUCCUGCGCAUGCGCAGUUCUAUUCGCCGUACAUCAUGGCGGCCCUCACAUACGAAGUUUUAAUUGCCGUACAUCAUGGCGGCCAUGCGCAUGCGCAGUUCCCGCCAACCGCUGCGCUCCCUCUGCUCCGUGCAUGCGUAUUGUUCCGUGACGUCAUCACGCAGCGCCCCGCGCGUGCGCAGUGCCGGGCCAGGCCUGAGGAGGCGGCGAAGCCCCGGGACGGGCCCGGGACCAGCGGGGAAAACGGGAAAAAAACGGGAAAAAAGCGGGGAAAAAAGCGGGAAAAACGGGAUAAUCGGGAUAAUCUGAAUAAUCGGGAUAAUCGGGAUCAGCACAGCGCACUCCCCACCGCAGUUAUGGUGUUUUACUUCACCUCCAACGCCGCUCCCGCUGCCUACACCAUCUACAUGGGCAAGGACAAGUACGAGAGUGAGUGCUGGGAAUUCCGGGAAUUUUGGGAAUUCUGGGAAUUUCGGGGGCCGGGAAUUCCAGGAUUUCCUUGGGAAUAUCCCACAUUUUCCUCCCCACCCCCCCUUGCCGCGGUUUUUUGGGAUUCCUUUGGAUGUUCCUGGGUUUGGGGGAGGGAAAAAUUCCCUUUUCCUGGGCAGAAUUCCCAGAUUUCCGGCCCCUUUGGGGAAUUUUGGGAAUCUUUUCCGGCUCUUUCCAGAGCGGGAUUGGAUCCGGCUGGGAAUUCCGGGAUUUGGGAUUUGGGAAUUCCCAGGAUUUGGGAUUUGGGUGGGAAUUCCCGGGAUUUGGGGUUGGGGUGGGAAUUUGGGGCAGGAAUUCCUGGGAUUUGGGGUUGGGAAUUCCGGGAUUUAGAGCUGGAAUUCCAGGGAUUUGGGGACGGGAGGUGGGAAUUGGGAUGGGAAUUCUGGGAUUUGGGGUUGGGUUGGAAAUCCUGGGAUUUGGGGCAGGAAUUCCCAGGAUUUGGGGAUGGAAAUCCCGGGAUUUGGGGCUGGGAAAGCCGGGAUUGGGGAUUUGGGAAUUCUGGGAUUGGGAAAUGCUGGGAGUGGGGAUUUUGGGCUUUGGGAAUUUGGGGAAUUUGGGGCUUUGGGAAUUCUGGGAUUUGGGAAUUUUGGGAAUUUGGGGCUUUGGGAAUUCUGGGCUUUGGGAAUUUUGGGAAUUUGGGGCGUUGCCGACGGCGCUGCCGUUCCGCAGACGAGGACCUGAUCAAGUACGGCUGGCCCGAGGACGUCUGGUGCGUGCUGAGAUCCCGAGAUUCCCGGGAAAAGCAGGAAUUUGGGAAUGUGGGAUCCUCCCCCUCCCACCCCCUCCCCCCUCGGGCCCUUCCCUCCCCGGAGGAUUCCGGAAUUUGGGAGCAGCUUUGGGCUGGAGCUGGGAAUUCCCGAGGUCGGCUCUUCCCAAAUCCCGAAUCCCAUCCUGAAUUCCAAAUCCAAUCCCAAAUUCAGUCCCAAAUCCCAUUUCAAAUCCCAAAUCCCCAAUCCCAUCCCAAAUCCCGAAUCCAAUCCCAAAUCCCAAAUCCCAUCCUGAAUCCCAAAUCCAAUCCCAAAUUCAGUCCCAAAUCUCAUCCUUAAUCCCAAAUCCCAUUUCAAAUCCCAAAUCCCAUCCCAAAUCCCAAAUCCCAUCCCAAACCCCAAAUCCAAUCCCAAAUCCCAUCCCAAAUCCCAUUUCAAAUCCCAAAUCCCAUCCCCAAUCCCAUCCCAAAUCCCAAAUCCCAUCCUGAAUCCCAAAUCCAGUCCCAAAUCCCAAAUCCCAUCCCCGGGCCCUUCCCUUCCCCCACCUUCUUCUCAUUUUUCCCCCUUUUUUCCCCAUUUUCCCCACAUUUUUUCCAUUUUUUCCUCACUUUCCCCACUUUUCCCCACAUUUUCCCCAUUUUC